AAGGAGCACCAACUGGUUCCGCCGCCUCACUCGUGAGGGACGGAAUCGGUGGCUGCCAUUGACGGCGAAUGUUCGUCAGGCGGCUGCUCAUAGAUGUGGAGCACUGGCUACUCAGUGCAGAGGGUUUCUGACCUCGCUAGUACUGUCACCGCUUGCGGUGGCGUGGAACGGGAGUUGAUGGGACUGUCUGCGCUGGACACGCUGUUGGGUCCUGAGGAAACGGACCCUUCAGCCCCUGAACAUUCGCCUUCACGGUGGGUGUGAUGGGGCUGGGUUGUUUCUUCUGGAUCGCGGGACCAGAUUCUGGUGCGGCGCGAGCUGUAUCCGGUCUGGUGGGCCCGGUUGUUUUUUGAGAACUACACAGUGGACGCGAGCAUCUCUGACGAGACUCUCCAGGGAAACGUUGUUUUCUUGGGCUGGUCGGUCUUUGGCCGGUUUGUCUCGUCUCUGUUGCGAUUUGUUUGAUCGUUUGU
rnacentral:misc_RNA from 1 species